rnacentral:rRNA from 1 species
CACGUAGGGCGCGAGCGUUGUCCGGAAUUAUUGGGCGUAAAGAGCUCGUAGGCGGCCUGUUGCGUCCGCUGUGAAAGCCCGGGGCUUAACCCCGGGUCGGCAGUGGAUACGGGGCAGGCUAGAGGUAGGUAGGGGAGAAUGGAAUUCCCGGUGUAGCGGUGAAAUGCGCAGAUAUCGGGAGGAACACCAGUGGCGAAGGCGGCUUCCUGGACCAGAGCUGACACUGAGGCGCGAAAGCGUGGGGAGCAAACAGG